CCCCAAUUAUAAUCUUCUGUAAUCAUAACUAAAUCAAUUAAACUUUGAUGCAUAUUGCACAAACCAACAUUAUGCAAAACCACUUGCCAUAGUUAAAGAUCUAAGUGAUAAAUAGUGUGCCAGCUAUCGCGGUUAUACACUAACUCAAAGUUAACUUCUAUUAGUUAUUUAAAUUACUAAACCACAAUUAAGAUCUUAAUAGUGAAAAGUACAUAUCUUAUACAAUAAUACAUCUAAAUCACCAAAAGUUAAAYAAGAAACAAGGAUUAGAUACCCUUCUAUCCUAAACUUAAAUUAAYCAAGAAGUAAAAUCAAACAAAAACUUAACUAGAAUGGCAGUAAGAAACCCAUCAGAGAAGGCUGUACUAUAACCGAUAACCCUCGUUAAUCACCCCCUAACCUAACAUUUUAUAUAUCGCCAUUGAAAUCUUACUUAAGAUAAGAUUAAAUUAAGAUUCACACUCAGUCAACAGGUCAAGAUAUAAAUCAUGGUUAGGUGAGAUAUUGCCUGCAAAUAUCAACAAUUAAUUAAACUAUCAUUAUUCAGCAGUUUAAAUUAGGAUCUGACUGUAAUUACGCCUACCUAAUAGCAUCUUGACCCACUAAAUUCCUUAUGCACAUAUUGCCCGUCACCCUCAUAAGAGGCAAGUCGUAACAAAGUAGAUCUUCUGGAAGGAGGACCUAGACCC
rnacentral:ncRNA from 1 species